ensembl:lncRNA
AAACUGUUGGAGAGAAAAAGCACAAUGAAAAUUGUAAGAGUGCUUAGGAAGGAUGACAUCAGUAAUCAUUUGGACAACACUGGCACAGCCCAUCUCAGGAUGUGGAUCCGUGGGUCCCCCCACCCCAUUUAGUCAUGGAACCAGACCAGAACCAAUGACACCAGGACCGUCUCUGGGAGUGCCUUCAGGUAGUACCUGCAGCACUGAGGAACAGGAUUUGUGUCUCUUGGACUGACUGCAUCAACUCAGCUGUGAAACUGGCUUGAGCCUGGAUCAGCAAGGAUCAACUGGAACAGGACCUCGUGGGGUUUCCUUAGGGCUCACAGGUUCUUUGUAGUUACCAAACUCUCUUCUGGCUCCUGCUGCCCCUGUUUGGCCAACACCUGUAUGACUUGUCCCACCAAGCAGACUGGCCCUGCAUUUGUACAUUGUGCUUAAGCCCCAUAAAACUAUCAUGCGAAACAAGGAGCCACCUUUGAAACCACACCACAGAAACUCAUCAGGGCAAGUCAUUCUCAAACUCAGCUUUUCAUGUGAAGUAAACUUCUAACAGUAUUCCCAGGAAAGAGAUAAGAUGUGCUAAGAUUUGCUAUUGUAAGCCCAAUACUGCCAGAGGCCCAUGGCAACACACAGAAUCUAAGCCAAGGUAUAGAAACACACUACAGGAUCAAAACAAACAAACAAACAAACAAAAACCCUUCAGGCUUUACUAAGAAAUCUCAUUAAAAAGGUCAAAUCCAUAGAGAAGGCUAGCAAGAAUAGAUGAGGUGCUGAACCUGCAGGAGUAACAUAAUAGGGAUGUUGUAACAUCCAGCCACAGAAAAAGUUCCCAGAUUUAGGCUGCAUUUAUUUCUUCUUUGCCAUAUAUUUUCCUGGUAAGCAUGAGUCCCUACUCAAACUAUCUGCAGAAAAAUAUCCUCCAAGAAUUUUGUUAGUGCUUUUUAUCUUUUGUAAUUAUAAAGGCAAGCUGCUGUAACAUGAAAAGCCUGGAAAUACUUCAAUGUUUUUUAACUGUGUAAAUGUGAUAAAAAGUCUUUCUCUGAUUUCUUUUCUUAUUUUAUCUGUGUCUUUUAUUUUUUUAUUUUUUACUUUUCGUUUCACAUUCAGCUGGGGCUCACUUCUCAGUAGAAAUGGAACCUUGAAUAUUUUGAAGAAAUUAGAUUUUGAAACAGAUAAGCUAUAAAUAAUGGACAAUUUAGUGCUGCAGCUGCACAAUAUGACUACUAUCUCUCAUUUUUAACAGCAAAAGAAGUUGCAUUGAUCUGAACACAAACAGACUUAAGCACGUGAAAAUCUGUGGUGCACAUGAAAUGGAUAUGGUUGAAUCUAUUUCAAUUAUUUCAUUGAUUAUGUGCAUUUUUUCUCCAAUGUAUGAACUUAGACAUGUAUGAGAACUUCAAAGAAAUACAUUCAUUGCCUAGCAGGAUUUUCAAAAUAAUCUAACCUUUGAAAAUCCCACUGGGAGCCUAUCUACAUUUUUAAAUGCCUAAAUAUCCUUUAAAACCCGGUCCUCUGCAACAUUAUUUUUGUCCUUGUAUAAGAAUGUGCAACACAGUGUUUGAACCUUCCUCUAAAUUUGCCUGUCUUUUCACAUUACAUACUUAAUAAAGUAAAUAUGAGG